AUUGAACGCUGGCGGCAGGCUUAACACAUGCAAGUCGAGCGGAGAUGAGGUGCUUGCACCUUAUCUUAGCGGCGGACGGGUGAGUAAUGCUUAGGAAUCUGCCUAUUAGUGGGGGACAACAUUCCGAAAGGAAUGCUAAUACCGCAUACGUCCUACGGGAGAAAGCAGGGGAUCUUCGGACCUUGCGCUACUAGAUGAGCAUAAGUCGGAUGAGCUAGUUGGUGGGGUAAAGGCCUACUAAGGCGACGAUCUGUAGCGGGUCUGAGAGGAUGAUCCGCCACACUGGGACUGAGACACGGCCCAGACUCCUACGGGAGGCAGCGGUGGGGAAUAUUGGACAAUGGGGGGAACCCUGAUCCAGCCAUGCCGCGUGUGUGAAGAAGGCCUUAUGGUUGUAAAGCACUUUAAGCGAGGAGGAGGCUACUGAGACUAAUACUCUUGGAUAGUGGACGUUACUCGCAGAAUAAGCACCAGCUAACUCUGUGCCAGCCGCCGCCGUAAUAC
rnacentral:rRNA from 1 species